AUACGGAGGAUGCGAGCGUUAUCCGGAUUUAUUGGGUUUAAAGGGAGCGUAGGCGGGAGCUUAAGUCAGCGGUUAAAUGGUGCGGCUCAACCGUGCCCUGCCGUUGAAACUGGGUUUCUUGAGAGUGCAAGAGGCGGAUGGAAUUCAUGGUGUAGCGGUGAAAUGCUUAGAUAUCAUGAAGAACUCCGAUUGCGAAGGCAGUCCGCUGGGGCACGUCUGACGCUGAUGCUCGAAGGUGUGGGAAUCAAACAGGAUUAGAUACCCUGGUAGUCCGCACGGUAAACGAUGAUUACCCGCUGUCGGCGGCAGACAGUCGGCGGCCAAGCGAAAGCGAUAAGUAAUCCACCUGGGGAGUACGCCGGCAACGGUGAAACUCAAAGGAAUUGACGGGG
rnacentral:rRNA from 1 species